CGACCGGCGCACGGGUGAGUAACGCGUAUGUAAUCUACCUGUAACAGAGGGAUAACCCGGAGAAAUCCGGACUAAUACCUUAUAGCACAUAUUAUUCGCAUGAAUUUUAUGUUAAAGAGACUCGGUUACAGAUGAACAUGCGUUCCAUUAGCUAGUUGGCGGGGUUACGGCCCACCAAGGCAACGAUGGAUAGGGGUUCUGAGAGGAAGGUCCCCCACACUGGUACUGAGACACGGACCAG
rnacentral:rRNA from 1 species